GACAGAGGGUGCAAACGUUGUUCGGAAUUACUGGGCGUAAAGCGCGCGCAGGCGGCUCUUCAAGUCAGGGGUGAAAGCCCAGAGCUCAACUCUGGAACUGCCUUUGAGACUGAAGAGCUUGAGUACGGGAGAGGUGAGUGGAAUUCCCAGUGUAGAGGUGAAAUUCGUAGAUAUUGGGAAGAACACCGGUGGCGAAGGCGGCUCACUGGCCCGUUACUGACGCUCAGGCGCGACAGCGUGGGGAUCGAAACAGG
rnacentral:rRNA from 1 species